rnacentral:rRNA from 1 species
GAUGAACGCUAGCGGCAGGCUUAACACAUGCAAGUCGAGGGGUAGAAGGGGCUUGCUCCUUUGAGACCGGCGCACGGGUGCGUAACGCGUAUGCAAUCUACCUUGUACAGGGGGAUAGCCCAGAGAAAUUUGGAUUAAUACCCCAUAGUGUAAUGAACAGGCAUCUUUUUGUUACUAAAGUUCCAACGGUACAAGAUGAGCAUGCGUCCCAUUGGCUAGUUGGUGUGGUAACGGCACACCAAGGCAACAAUGGGUAGGGGUCCUGAGAGGGAGAUCCCCCACACUGGUAAUGAGACACGGACCAGACUCCUGCGGGAGGCAGCAGUGAGGAAUAUUGGUCAAUGGGCACAAGCCUGAACCAGCCAUGCCGCGUGCAGGAUGACGGUCCUAUGGAUUGUAAACUGCUUUUGUACAGGAAGAAACACUCCCUCGUGAGGGAACUUGACGGUACUGUAAGAAUAAGGAUCGGCUAACUCCGUGCCAGCAGCCGCCGUAACAC